AAAGAGGAGUAGAAAAUAAGACGCAACUCAAAGCCGACGGUUCCAAAAUCCAACCACCGUGUUAACCCCUCCUAGAACCCUCUUCCACCAUUCCCAUUCUCUUUCUCUCUCCUCCACACAUCAAAAAGGAUGUUCUACUUAAGCUUAAUAGAACACAGAUUAAGAUUACCACCCAAAUUACUCGAUCUCCGUUUAGAAGAUGCAAUCAAGGGUCAGCUUGAAUCCAUCUUCUUAGACAAGGUAAUUGCGAAAGCGGGUCUUUGUAUAUCAGUUUAUGAUAUCAAAUCAAUUGAUGGCGGCUUUGUCUUACCUGUUGAAGGCGCUCCAACUUAUACGGUGGUUUUCCGUAUGGUCAUGUUCCGGCCGUAUAUUGGAGAAAUUAUUACCACGAAACUUAAGAAUUCAAACUUAAAAGGAUUACAAUUGACACUUGGGUUUUUUGACGACAUAUACGUACCUUCUUAUGCUCUGCCAGAACCAUCACAUAUGGAGCCCGAGCCCAAUGAUAUUGAUCCCAAGCAUGGGAGAUGGGUGUGGAGAUACAAUGAAAUGGAUUUGCCCAUUGAUGAUGAUAGUGAGAUACGGUUUCAAGUUAUUAGUGUUGACUACCCUCCAAUCCCGUUAGAACAAGAGGAAGGUGCAAAGCCAUUUGCUCCAAUGGUUAUUACCGGAUCUGUUAACUCUGAUGGCUUAGGUCCCCUUGCAUGGUGGUGAGUUCAUGAAAGCGUCUCAAACAAUAAUCAUGACGAAGCUGCUCAACUUAAGGGAGUUUAUACUAUAAGAGCUGGAGGUUGAAGGAAACCAGCAUUGGUGAAAUGAAUGAGAAUGGACAUGGCACAUGAUUCAAGCUGUUUGUCUUGGAUUCCUUCUUAAACAUUAAUUGCAUUCUUACUCUACAAAUUAUGCAUGUAAACUUGGCUAAAUUUUAGCUGAAACACCCUUUUUAAAGAAUUAUCACUUUUUAUUUUAUUUUAUGGUUUAAACAUAAAUAUUAGAAAUAAUAAUAGUAGAGCAAGAAUCUUUUUGGGUAAUAGCAAUGCCUCAUAGGUUAAAUUAUGUAAUUGCAUAUUGUAAAGU